CAUUGUUAAGAUUUCGUGACAAGAAUAAUUUCUAUUAUAUAUACCUUUCGUACUAGGCUUAGAAUUUCAGUAAUUUCAGUUUAACGCAGUCAGACAGCGCAAAUAAUACUGCGAGAGUAGCAGUACGCGGGCGCCAUUAUCGCUGCGAUACCAUUGUGUUACUCGUAGUCUAGCAAUCAGGGCAAAAGUAGAAGCAACGAGAGAGAAAAAGAUGGAAACGCGACAGGGAGUAAAGGAAAGAAAAAAGAAAUGUUAUAUGGAAUACCUGGGAGAAACGUCGCAGAGAAAAGCGAGAACUAAGGAAUGCUGAUGGAACGGUGACGGUUGGAGGGGAGUGAAAACACGCAGUAUUGUUUUGCGCUACUUUGUUAUGCGAGUGCCGGUGUGCCGAGGGAACGUCGCCAACCUGACAACCUACAUCGAGCGCAAUGACGCCACGUUCGGGCUCUGCAUAUAAUAUAAGAUUUCCUAUUUAAGAGAUACUUGAUAUUUUAAAAUUCAAUAGUAAGGUAUGCAAUAAUGUAUAUUAAAACAUUUGAGACAUUUUUUUUUUUUAAUAUUUCCAAAACUAAAAAAUAUGGGACAUAUGAAUCACAUAAAACCUAAUUAAUCAACUCUAUCGAGAUUCCGAUUUGCUUAUAUCCUUCGAUGUAUUUUUGAAUCACUCUGUAUACAUGUACAUGCGAUUGGAAAAUAAGUCAUAGUUAGCAAAAACGUAUCAUGGUAGCAAGAUGGACGAGCGGAAUCAGGGAACAAAAGGGCGGGCACGUGGAUCGAGUUUAUCGCAUGGACGUGACCGGUUCGUUGUUUUUAGGAUCAGGCAUUCCUAUGCAUUUUACGCUGGCGCCGGAGAUAAGCGCCAGAUUCUAAUUAGGAUUCAACGGGCUUGGAAUUUAUCGUUCGGCGAAAAGAGCAUUUGUGCUACAUGGUUACUGGGGGUUACGGAGUUUGCGACCCAAUUUUUCUUCUUUUCUCUUCUUUUUCGGGAUUUGGAUUGUAAACUUGGAAGUCUGUGCUUUUACAACUAUAGAUUUUUUAGGAAUUUGUUGCGAGAAGAUUGAAUGUGUUAGAAUUGGAAAUUUUUUCAUUUUUUUGUAUUUAAUUCUGAUUUUUAAUACUACGUAUUGAUGUUUAAUAUUGUAUAAUUUG